rnacentral:snRNA from 1 species
CUACUUGCUACAGCAGUACUUAUUCUAAAAUUGGAAUGAUACAAAGAAGAUUAGCAUGGCCCCUGCGCAGGGAUGACACGCAAAUUCAUGAAGCGUUCCAUAUUUUU